rnacentral:rRNA from 1 species
ACGUACAAGCAGUGGGAGCACCUUCGGGUGUGACUGCGUACCUUUUGUAUAAUGGGUCAGCGACUUAUAUUCUGUAGCAAGGUUAACCGUAUAGGGGAGCCGCAGGGAAACCGAGUCUUAACUGGGCGUUAAGUUGCAGGGUAUAGACCCGAAACCCGGUGAUCUAGCCAUGGGCAGGUUGAAGGUUGGGUAACACUAACUGGAGGACCGAACCGACUAAUGUUGAAAAAUUAGCGGAUGACUUGUGGCUGGGGGUGAAAGGCCAAUCAAACCGGGAGAUAGCUGGUUCUCCCCGAAAGCUAUUUAGGUAGCGCCUCGUGAACUCAUCUUCGGGGGUAGAGCACUGUUUCGGCUAGGGGGUCAUCCCGACUUACCAACCCGAUGCAAACUACGAAUACCGAAGAAUGUUAUCACGGGAGACACACGGCGGGUGCUAACGUCCGUCGUGAAGAGGGAAACAACCCAGACCGCCAGCUAAGGUCCCAAAGUCAUGGUUAAGUGGGAAACGAUGUGGGAAGGCACAGACAGCCAGGAUGUUGGCUUAGAAGCAGCCAUCAUUUAAAGAAAGCGUAAUAGCUCACUGGUCGAGUCGGCCUGCGCGGAAGAUGUAACGGGGCUAAACCAUGCACCGAAGCUGCGGCAGCGACACUAUGUGUUGUUGGGUAGGGGAGCGUUCUGUAAGCCUGCGAAGGUGUGCUGUGAGGCAUGCUGGAGGUAUCAGAAGUGCGAAUGCUGACAUAAGUAACGAUAAAGCGGGUGAAAAGCCCGCUCGCCGGAAGACCAAGGGUUCCUGUCCAACGUUAAUCGGGGCAGGGUGAGUCGACCCCUAAGGCGAGGCCGAAAGGCGUAGUCGAUGGGAAACAGGUUAAUAUUCCUGUACUUGGUGUUACUGCGAAGGGGGGACGGAGAAGGCUAUGUUAGCCGGGCGACGGUUGUC